UAGUCCACGCUGUAAACGAUGUUCACUCGCUGUCGGCGAUACACAGUCGGCGGCUGAGCGAAAGCAUUAAGUGAACCACCUGGGGAGUACGAUCGCAAGGUUGAAACUCAAAGGAAUUGACGGGGGCCCGCACAAGCGGUGGAGCAUGUGGUUUAAUUCGAUGCAACGCGAAGAACCUUACCUGGGCUUGAACUGGUACUGCUAUACUGUGAAAGCAGUUAUUCCUUCGGGACGGUACUAGAGGUGCUGCAUGGCUGUCGUCAGCUCGUGUCGUGAGAUGUUGGGUUAAGUCCCGCAACGAGCGCAACCCUUACUCUUAGUUGCCAGCACAUAAUGGUGGGAACUCUAAGGGGGACUGCCCCGGCUAACGGGGAGGAAGGUGGGGACGACGUCAAGUCAUCAUGGCCCUUACGUCCAGGGCUACACACGUGCUACAAUGGCCGGUACAACGGGCAGCUAGACAGUGAUGUUCAGCGAAUCCCUUAAAACCGGUCUCAGUUCGGAUUGG
rnacentral:rRNA from 1 species